AAAUGCGAUAAGUAAUGUGAAUUGCAGAAUUCAGUGAAUCAUCGAAUCUUUGAACGCAUCUUGCGCUCCUUGGUAUUCCGAGGAGCAUGCCUGUUUGAGUGUCAUUCAAAUUCUCAAACCAUGUUGAUUGUUCUUUCAACAUGGCUUUGGAUGGGUGGGGGUUUGCAGGCCCUUCUUUUUGAGGUCAGCUCCCCUGAAAUGCAUUAGUAGUAUCUGAGCAGAGAAACUACCACAGGUGUGAUAAAUUUAUCUAUGCCUUGGUGAGCUGCAUUGUAACAGAUCAUGCUGCUUAUAACGAGUGUGGUGGUUUGAAACCACCCACAUUUGAUGAAUUUGACCUCAAAUCAGGUAGGACUACCCGCUGAACUUAAGCAUAUCAAUAAGCGGAGGAAAAGAAACU
rnacentral:rRNA from 1 species